UGUGAAGUAACAGAAAUGUUCCAAUUCCAGAGUUAGCAGCAAUGAAAUGUCUCUGAUCCAGCAACCUGCUGAGAGUGCUUAUUGAACUGGGUGCUGCUCUGCUUGAGGCACAAAAGUAUGAGUGAACAACUUGCUUUUUCCUUAGGUCUGGUUCAUAGAGCUUUCAUUUGUGUUGUCCAGGCCUAUGGACAUACUGGAGUACUUAUCCACUCCCCAUCUCUACAUGCUUGGAAGAUGAUAUGCAGCUUGUUCCUGUCCUGACCAAGGGAAUGCUUCUGCAUCCUUCAAGUCAAGUGCACCUGUGGUGUCAGUUCUGUGUCGAAAACACUGUGGUUAGGAAAGAGACUAAGCCAACUGGAAAAAAAAAUUGUAGGUGAAGUGGCGUAGGUACUUGCAGCAUGAAAGGAAGAUUCAAAGGAGAUGAAACAAGCAAGAAGCAAGGGAAAAAGACAACUGCCACCCAAAAUGUAGCAAUGGGGAAACCUUCUAUAUGGUUUAUCACUUUCCCAGAGGCUAAGAGCCAUGUGCAUACUGCAAAGAGCAAGAGGAGGAUUCUUGUCUCUCCAGCCAGCUGAUACUCAGGUUUUUCCUGGCUCACAGAGCAGCAUCUUGUAAUAUCAUAACAUCCUCUAUUUAGACAAAUGCAAGGAAGAACUCAGGUUGGUUGUUUAUUUAUGUUCUGAGCUGGGUUACUUUCAUACCACAUGGCUUUCCUUCACCAUAGGGGUGAAAGGGACUGACUCAUCUCAAAAUAAGCCAGAUUAAAUACUGGCAAAACUAGGAACAACUUUGAUUUUACUCGGCUACUGUAAAUGAUUACUUGACCUACUAAUUAUUUGAAAAAAUAUUUCAAGAAAAAAAGGCUUGACUUGGUUUCACAUUUUAAACUUGAACAGAACCAUGGAUCAGGCUACUGUCAUAACAAACAUGUUUUUAGUUUCCUUCUUUGUUUUGUUUUGUUUUAUUCAUAUUUCUCUGCAUUUGCUGAUUCCUGCCUUAACUGAAAUCUGCAUCAAAGUGUUCACUGAAUAAGUUUGGAUGUUACACUAGGUACUGGGAAAGCAAGCAACCUAACCAGUUGAUGAGAGGUUAACUAUCGUAAAGCAGUUCUGUUCCUAGUCUCAAGCCUGUGCCUUAUCUUGUAUGAACAGUGUUCAUAGAUG
rnacentral:lncRNA from 1 species